CUCUAUUCUUCUCCUAAUCAUUUGUCAGAAAAGCUGGGUUACAUUUCCACCAAAUGUGAAUAAAAUCUGCAGUCUGUGCACCACAUCUUUAGCAAAUAUCAUUUUACUUGGGAAUUACUUUUUAGAGUUUUAGUGUUAUUUGAAAGUGUAAAUAAAUGCAAAUAAUCCUAAUUUCCUGUACUGCACUUGUAUUGUCUCAGCACCCACAUCUUAAUAAACUUCUUUUGACUCCCA